rnacentral:rRNA from 1 species
UAAUUUUGAACGAGUGGCGGACGGGUGAGUAACACGUGGGUAACCUGCCCUUAAGUGGGGGAUAACAUUUGGAAACAGAUGCUAAUACCGCAUAAAUCCAAGAACCGCAUGGUUCUUGGCUGAAAGAUGGCGUAAGCUAUCGCUUUUGGAUGGACCCGCGGCGUAUUAGCUAGUUGGUGAGGUAACGGCUCACCAAGGCAAUGAUACGUAGCCGAACUGAGAGGUUGAUCGGCCACAUUGGGACUGAGACACGGCCCAAACUCCUACGGGAGGCAGCAGUAGGGAAUCUUCCACAAUGGACGCAAGUCUGAUGGAGCAACGCCGCGUGAGUGAAGAAGGCUUUCGGGUCGUAAAACUCUGUUGUUGGAGAAGAAUGGUCGGCAGAGUAACUGUUGUCGGCGUGACGGUAUCCAACCAGAAAGCCACGGCUAACUACGUGCCAGCAGCCGCGGUAAUACGUAGGUGGCAAGCGUUAUCCGGAUUUAUUGGGCGUAAAGCGAGCGCAGGCGGUUUUUUAAGUCUGAUGUGAAAGCCCUCGGCUUAACCGAGGAAGUGCAUCGGAAACUGGGAAACUUGAGUGCAGAAGGGGACAGUGGAACUCCAUGUGUAGCGGUGAAAUGCGUAGAUAUAUGGAAGA